UACGAAGGGGGCGAGCGUUGUUCGGAUUUACUGGGCGUAAAGCGCGCGCAGGCGGUCUUCCAAGUCAGUGGUGAAAGCCCGGAGCUCAACUCCGGAACUGCCAUUGAAACUGUUGGACUUGAGUACGAGAGAGGUGAGUGGAAUUCCCAGUGUAGAGGUGAAAUUCGUAGAUAUUGGGAAGAACACCGGUGGCGAAGGCGGCUCACUGGCUCGUAACUGACGCUCAGGCGCGACAGCGUGGGGAUCAACAGG
rnacentral:rRNA from 1 species